rnacentral:rRNA from 1 species
GAUGAACGCUAGCGGCAGGCUUAACACAUGCAAGCCGAGGGGCAGCGCGGGAUAGCAAUAUCCUGGCGGCGACCGGCGGAAGGGUGCGUAACGCGUGAGCGACAUGCCCGUUGCCCGGGGACAACCGGUGGAAACGCCGACUAAUCCCCGAUGGGAUACGAUGCUUCAUGGCAUUGUAUUGAAAGUUACGGCGGCGACGGAUUGGCUCGCGUCCGAUUAGCUGGUUGGCGGGGUAACGGCCCACCAAGGCUGCGAUCGGUAGGGGUUCUGAGAGGAAGGCCCCCCACAAUGGGACGGAGACACGGCCCAUACUCCGACGGGAGGCAGCAGUGAGGAAUAUUGGACAAUGGGCGGAAGCCUGAACCAGCCAGGCCGCGUGCGGGAAGGAGGCCCUAUGGGCUGUGAACCGCUUUUGCCUGGGGGAAAUAAGGGCGUCGCGCACGUCCGAUGAGAGUACCAGGCGAAUAAGCAUCGGCUAACUCCGUG